AGUGGCGGAGGGGUGAGUAAUGCUUGGGAAUUUGCCUUUAGGUGGGGGAUAACUGUUGGAAACGACUGCUAAUACCGCAUAUUAGCUACGGCUGAAAGGGGGCUUCGGCUCUCGCCUUUAAAGAAGCCCAAGUGGGAUUAGAUAGUUGGUGAGGUAAAGGCUCACCAAGUCAGCGAUCCCUAGCUGGUCUGAGAGGAUGAUCAGCCACACUGGAACUGAGACACGGUCCAGACUCCUACGGGAGGCAGCAGUGGGGAAUAUUGCACAAUGGGCGCAAGCCUGAUGCAGCCGUGCCGCGUGUGUGAAGAAGGCCUUCGGGUUGUAAAGCACUUUCAGCGAGGAGGAAAGUUUAGUAGUUAAUACCUGCUAGAUGUGACGGUACUCGAAUAAGAAAGAGCGGCUAACUCCGUGCCAGCAACCGCGGUAAUACGGAGGGACCGAGCGGUAAUCGGAAUUACUGGGCGUAAAGCGUACUGAGGCGGUCAUUGAGGUCAGAUGUGAAAGCCCCGGGCUCAACCUGGGAAGUGGAUUUGAAACUGGAGGAGUAGAGUGCGACAGAGGGUGGUAGAAUUUCAGGUGUAGCGGUGAAAUGCGUAG
rnacentral:rRNA from 1 species